GUGACCCCUUCCCCUGUGGUUGGGAGCAAUGGGGUCAGGAAGUGGGAUGUGUGUGUGCAGAGCUUUCUGAAGUUGGGGAGGUUCCUGGAGGUGGGUCUGACCUGACCCCAGGAGCAGAGGAAGUCAUGUCACCGUCUCUCCUCUCCUCUUCUUCCCCUCCCACCCAACCUCCUGAGGUGGUGAUUUACAUCUCCCCCGGCUGCUCUUAAUGCCCAAACCAGACGUGCCCCCUUCUCCCCCCGACUGCUGCUUGGAAGGUGCAUGUGAAUCAAUUUAUCUGCGGGGGACAUUAAUUCUGCGCUUCUGCAGUGAUGAAGAAUUCCCGCAGGAGUAAUAGGUCACCUUCUCUUAUUGUAGAAAGCUCACUUGUUCCUGAGGAGUGAAGUGGUUGAGAAUAGUCUUCAUCUUAGAACUUUAGAGCAACCUCUUAGAUAUACUGGGCCCAGGCCAUCAAAUUCCUUGAGGAUAAGGACAGAGACCUUGAACUUGAUCUGAUAUUCUAUGAGAAGCCAGUGUAGAGAGCAGAGGACAGGUGUGAUGUAUUAAUGGGAGCCACAGUUUCUGAGGAGAUUGCCACAGCAUUCUUUAUCAGUUGGAGUUCUUGAAGUGUGGAAUACUGCAUGCCCAGCUAUAUUGUAUUGCUGUAGUCCAGCUGAGAAGUAGCAGGUGUUGUUAAUGGAGACUAGAUGGUCAUGAUGGUCCCUUCUGGCCUUAAAGUCUGAGGCCAGUUUGCCUAGUGGCUGCAUGCAGAUGUUCAAUAGGAAUGGGGAGAGAUCCUUGUGUUUUCUGCCAUUGACUCUUGAGUUUUCAUCCAUCUUUUCAUAUGGUCCAGGAUGUCAGAAAACUAAGAAGAGGGGUGUGUGUGUGUGUGUAGAGAGGAAAGGCUGUUUGGAGGCCAGCAUACAAUGGUAGCCAAGUCUAGCAUAUAACUUGUCAGAUCCUUGACUCCUUGUCCUGUUGGUGGAGAACAGCUGUCCCUUGGCAUGUUUUGGAAUUUGGAGUCCGUGAGUUCUUGUGGUUGAAAUAAGAUCAUGGGACUGUCUUGUUGCCUUGGAGCUGGAAGAGCUCUGACCAUUGACCCUAGGCUUUCUGGCUUAUCAUAAAUUUAUGGCAACCAAAAUUUGGUUUGUAAACAGCUGUCAUAUCAGUCUUAGGGGCUCAGUAAAACAGGAAGAUGAGUAUGUGGAGGAUGAGCCAGAAACAAUUCUUUCAUCUUUGUCCCCACCAGAAAAGCAGCUAGUGCUUCCCCUUCUAGUGAUAUGAAGGCCUUUCUGAGGCCUUAGACUUAGAACUCACUGAUUCAGUAAAAAAAAAAAAGCCCAUAGAUUUCUUAUAUUCUGCAGAACAAGCAAUUGGGAAUGUGACACCUUUAUAUGUGGCUCAUUACCCCCAGUGUCUUUCCUCUUCCCUCACUCUCCCCUCCCUUUUAGAACCAAGCACACCAAAUUCGGUCCUUGAGAAAAGCUUGAAUAUUUUCCCUUUUAUGAUUUUUUGGCUCUGAUAGUGACUAGAGCCUCUUGGGAUGUAAGCUUAGAUUUUGGCCACUUCGCAGGUGAGACUUGGCAGUUAUUGAGCAGCGAUGACAAGAUGACUGCCUUCAGUGAGACAUGUUGCUUUAUAAAUAAGGACAUCCACCACUUUUUGGUUAGAGAAGCAGAAUUCUUCCUUACUUCAUGUGAGACUGAACUUUUUUCCAGAUGGAGGUUCUCUGCCUUUAGGGGCAGGUCGUCAGUUGGAUCAAGCUCCGUGCAGCAAAGUUGAGUCAAGAUAUGAAAGGCACAGUCAUUGAAUAUGUCUCCAACCUUGUCCAGGAGAAGGACUCUACCAAUACUCCUUUCUAACCUUUGGUGUCUUCACCACGAGGUUUUUAUGAAACAGCUGUCUGUGGCAACGGGCUUUCUUGGAUGUUUGAAUAUUUGUAUCCGACUGUAGCUAGCACACGCUGCAAGAUGUACCUCAGGCCAGCCAGGUCUACACUCAAAAGUUAAGUCGACCCAGCUACGUUGUUCAGGGGUGUGAAAAAUCCACACACUUGAAUGACAGUUAAGCCAACCUAACCCUCGGAGUAGAUAGUGCUAGGUUGCUGGAAGAAUUCUUCCAUUGCCUAGUUACCUCCUCUUGGGGAGGUGUGGGAAAGUGUUUACAAUGAAGUACUACAAUGGCAUAGAUCCAGUGCUGCAGCUGUGCCACAGUAGCAUUUCAAGUGUAGACAAGCCCUCAGAAAAGUGUGUAAAGCAUCCUGAGUCCUUAGGGUUUGCCUGAACAAGUUCACUCAUUCUACCAUAAAAGGCUGAAUUCACUGAAGCCUUAAGAGGCUCCAUAGCUGAAAAGCUUGUUUAAGAGGAUUUUUCAUACCAUUAGGGAGACAGUGUCCUUUGAGAGGUUCCCAUCAUAAACCUGUAGCUUUUUUUUCUACAGGUGGUAAACCUUGUGUUCAUGUGACACUAUUUGCCAGGCUACAUCUUGGGAGUCUGCAUGGUGUACUGCCUUAACCACUUGGAUACCUGGGCCACAGUACCUCAGAAUAUUAAAGAUUCUCUUCUGUUCGGGAUGAAAGAGGAACAUUGCUAUUGGGGUUUCCAUCUUAUCUACCUCACUGGCUUUUUUGCAGUAUUAGUCAUGUCUCAGGGUGGUUGGAGGUACUCAAACUCGCCUUGGGGUGUCCGAUAUGGCUUGUUCUUCCAAGAUUUGGGGAUUCCUGGGGACAGUUCUUAAAGGAAAAUAACUCUUAAAUACCAUAGUUACUGACCUUUUUAGACUACCCAAAUGGAUCCCUGCUCAUGUUCCCCACUUCAGAGCAUCCAGUUAAAGAUUCCUGAAUCGCUUGAAAGAAAGUAGUUGAAGCCACUUCUUUGAAGUUGGUUGUCCGAACAGACAUUGGUUUCUAGGAGAGCUGAGCAUGUGUACCAUGAUUGCACUCACCCAAAGAAUUUGGACUUCUAUAGUCAAUCGUCCUAAAAAACCACACUGAGGUCUUGUCUAUGCUACAGAGUUUUGUCAACACAAGUUACGCUGACAACCAAAAACCAGUAUAAUUACAUCGCUUGUGCAUGUUCAUACAAUGCUCCUUCUGUCGGCAGAGCCCGUGCACAGUUGGUGUUCUAGCAUUG